ACGAAGAUAUAAGAUAGUAAUCAU
rnacentral:snRNA from 1 species